CUGAGCUGGGAUUUUAACCGGGGACCACCUGGUUACAAGCCUGUUUCUUUAACCACUUGACCACACAGCCUCCUUUUAAAAUAGUUAAUGUUGCCGCAUUUACAAGCUAUGAUACCAUACAGUACCUUCCAUAUACUGCGCACAAUAAAGAAAUAAUACAUUCAUUUUAAAUUGACACAGAAUAACAGUGUAUGUGUGCCUGCAAGAAAAACGCACAGCCUGCGUGUUAUAUUCUAAAAUAGUGAACGGUUGUUUUCUGUUCGUAUAACCUUAGUGUAGUGUAUUGUGCACUUUGGGUACCACAAUAUUCUCCAAGAGUACCGGAAUAUAACUUUUUUUAGCGUUUUCUUUCUUGUUAAACUGCUUUCACUCGCCGCCUUUUCUCAAUGAACUCUCGCAAAAGCCUCACGACCAAAUCGUGAACAGAUGGAAUACUCAGAAUUAAUUGUGGACCAAAAAUAGCAUUAAAAAAAUCAGCUGAAUCAUUUCGAUAACGGCGUAAUUAUUUUUAUAAUACAAUUUUGUUUUUUGUUGGGACUUCGAUACAGUAUUAUUGAAAAAAAAAAAUAAUAAAUUACCCACAAAACAAAAAUACAAAAAUGACAUCAUAACGAUUUAGAAUUAGACAAUGGAAACACACACUUGUACUUAGCGAUUAUAUAGGGAUAGUUGGCCUCAGCUUGCUAUGCAAUGGUGAUUUUUAGUUAUUUCCAUGCUUGCACAUUUUUCCAUUGCACUCACAAUUGCACUGAACUACUGAGCUGAGAAGACAAAGCUUCUCAAAGCUAAAUAAACACUGAUGAUGGCAUUAUUCACCGCAAAACGCCUGCUAUCUUGUAGGACGUGAAGUUGAACCAGGCUGGGUGGAGCUACUGUUGCACAAAUUGGGCCAGUGUGGAGCCUGGUAGCCAACAAUAUGCCUGCCUCUUAAACACAGCAUCAUUCCCCACUGAUGUUGAAGUACUAUUGUUUUGCUCUUGCCCUCAAUUCUCUGCAUUCCUGCAGAAUUCACACACUGACAAACUUAAUAGGUUUUUUGGGUUUUUUUUUUUUUUUUUGAGGUCUGCUAGUUCAACAGCCCACAACAUGCAAACAGGUGCCACGUGGGGUUUUGCUAGCAACUUAUGUAACUAGUACUUGUCACAGUUUGAAACAAAGUGUGUUUAACAUUACUGAUGAAGGAAAUCCAUUGUGAAGAUGUUCUGUGGAUUGAGAAACUACAGCUGACGACAUUCAGUGGUCAUUUCUUUUAGCGGUUAAAGAGAUCAUUAAUGGGCUACAUUUUGAGAAGAUUCUUCAAACAGAGAUACUGUUUAAAGGUUGGGAUUCCAUAUGGUCAUGCAGCCCAUUUGACUUUAAAUACCUCAUAAGCCUGUAAACCUAUGCCUUUUUACUUUACCCACGGUCUGUGUUUAAACGUGUUUAAUUCAAGCCCCAAGCCCUGUUGAACCAGGGGAGUUGAUGUCAGGUAACCUAAUAAUAAGAGACCACCUCUGAAGAAAAGGGCUUAAGUUGUAAAUUAAGCAUUUUAAACUCUCCCUUUCUCUGUCAGGAUAUCUGGAAUUGGAUCAUGCUUGAGACUUGCACGGUUAGCGACCGUUGCUAUAAAAGGGCUUUCCGUACAGUGCAUUGCAAAGAUAAAGCAGCGACUGUGCAGUUCAGGCUUCUCGGCUGUCCCUGUGAAAUUCUGCGAGCGUUUGUGAGGGCCCUCUCUGUUAAGAACAAAAAAGCACACGAUGGUGCCAGGUUUGCUCAGCAUUUCCACCAUCUGAUUUUCACCUGGAUAAUUUCAAGAAGCCAUCCCGAUAUCCUUAUACAUUUAGUAACUACGGUUAUUAAAUCAAAUCUCCUGUCCCUUGAUUUGCUCAGCUUAGCCUAAACUUUAGGAUUACUCUGUGAAUUGAAUUUCUCAUGCACAUGUCGGUCCUUGCCAGUUGCAGUCCCCCUGCUUUUUCUGAUAACAUGCUGUGACAUCCGGGUUCAAUAUGUCCUUUAACAGGGGCACCGUCCUGUGUGAAUAGCAUAAAUAGCUGUGGACCAAAGGAUAAGGAAACUUAAGAGAAAAGCGGGUUGAAGUGAAACCCUAUACAGAAGCUAAGGAGGAUGGGUAUGGCUUUAUAACCUUUGUUACAAUUGAUUGCAACUAAGAAAUUAGGUUGUUAUAAAUUUAUCAAAUGUGCAGUUUUUAGAUAAGCACACUUGUAUUAUAAAACAUCAGGUACUACAUUAAGUUCAUGAAAUCUCUGUUUACAGGCCAUGCCAGUGUUGUACUUCCUUGGUCAUUUCACUUGGCGGGUCCCUUCAGUGGCUUCUUUCCUGUCAUUUACCAGCCAGCUGCUUCCCUUAUUGACUGACACACUUUCAGUAACUUUGGCUCACAAGAUUUCCUGAGAGAAAACGGGAAACUUUCUUUCACCUAGUGGCACCAUAGGUUCUAAAAUGAAAAUACGCGCUUGCUAUGUGUUUCUUUCAGAACUGCACAUUUCAGACCUGUGUGUAGCUAGUGGAAGCCAGAGGUUGGGGUUAUGGAAUCGCUGCUGUUGGUUACACCCGCUUUAGGGGGUGUGAGACGUGUGCUUUGUUUUGUUUGUGGGGUACGGCACAAGCAGUUAGAAGCAAAUCAAGCAGUGUGGACUGUCGGGGUGGUGGGGGUGGGGGUGUGGGGUGUAGGGUUGUCCUGGCGCUAAUCCAAUUCACUAAGCCUGCAGGAAUGGUGCCAGCACUGGAGGAGUGGUGUAAAUAUUUAUAUAGAAAUGAUUCAGACUCUUACCUUAGGUUUGAAUAUCUGAAUUGUAUAUUGUAAUAGUAAUUCAUAAAUACAUUUUUAAAAAAAAGCACAUUCAAUCAAUAUAGUCAUGUACAAUAUCGGAUCUAUUUUUUGAUACAUGCACCUUCUCGAACUCCAUAGAGUUCACACAAACUUUUAAAAUUUAUACAAAAUAAAAAAAAAAAGUGACUGAAGGGGAUAUCAUUAAAUCGAAUUUAUGCAGGGUUAAUGAGUUGAUUUGAGUAGCCUAUACCCUGCUAAGCCACAACUGGAUUAUAUUAGAGCAUUUUACAGCACUGGGAAGUCAUCCAUCAACCACAGCAGUUGAACCAUGAUAUAAAACUGUGGAUUUAGAAAGUGGGUUAACUGAAUACGUUUUGGGGCAACUGUAAAUUUAGCAUUUCUGGCUUGUUGAAAGAAGGGCUUUGUCGCUUUCCUAGCACAAACAAAGCUAAUUUGAAAUAUAUGUGUAUAGAUUAUGUAUAUAUAAACGCAGGGUUGUCAUUAUUGUUAUUAGCAAACGGGUGAGCACUUUGAUGACUCAGGGUUUAGCUGCCCUGAAGUUUUUGCACAUAAUUGACAAAACCGUUUGUAGAAGAAACAAGCUACUCCACAUUCGUUAACUUGAGUACUUUUUUAAAACGGUAAACGCUCGAAGCGUAGUCAACUGAGCAGUUCGCUUUGGCCGCUGACUAAUUUAAAAGACAUUGUGUAACCCAUCAGCAGCUUUAAUGUUACAUGCUAUUUGCACUGAAGGAAAAACAGUCCGACUGUAUUUAUGGUAAUAGAGUACAGCACAAUGCUCCAAAACAAAAAGGUUUCUUUAACUGAGUUUUCCUAGACUGGCUUAUCUCAUUCUAAUGCCAUGUUUCCACAUGCCAGGCUGUAAAACUCAAACUGCCUUUCACCAGUUUCAUCUGCAAUCUACAGCUGUGGACAAAGGUUUUGCAUCACCCGACAGAAUGAACUAAUUUUGCUUCAUAAAGUUGAAUGAAACAAACAGGCCAGAUUUCAACUAUGUCUCAGCUGGAAACGUGGUGUUAGUUCACAAUCACAAUUACUGGGCAUCAGAAUAACAGAUUUUCAGAUUUAUAUGGAUGUUACUGUUUUAUUUUGAUUUACUAUGGGGACACUUAACUAAAAAGGGGAAUUAAUAUUAAAGGGUACUGUUUCACUGCUCCCCUUAUCAUUAUGCAGUUAAACGUUUACACUUCAUGCACUUAAGCCUUCUCUUCUGCAGUAUGCUGGGCCUGACUUCCUGCCACCCUCAUGCUCAUUUAUUAGGACAGUAAUUCCCUUUUUUGUUGGAAUUCCUGUUAACACGAGCUAUGCUACAAAGGAAAUUUUGAGAAAAUAAUAAUACAGAAUACAUUUUUUUUAGCAGAAGGAGAAUUGGGGGUUUUAGUAGCUGGUGGAGGGGGGUGGCUGUUUCUAGUGACGUCGCUUCUUUCUGCACAGUAUUUGUAAAGUGAAGGAACACGUACUGCACAGUGAUACAGGAGGGUAGUGUAAAUCUGUUUAAAAACCUGACUGACUAUACAUCUGAAAAGUGAUUCAAGUCACAGCAGCUUUGAACAUUAAAAUUAAGAUUAUAUUAUAGACGAAUCUGACUGUUAAUCUUGCACAAAUAACACUGCUGUUUUGUUAAUGUUAAUUUUAAUGUUUGUAUUGUAAUGACUGGUAAAUUGAUUAAAUAUGAAGUUAGAAAAAUUGUUGUCUUUCCUUUGUUUAUUUUAGCUGUUGUUCCACACACUCGGUUCAUGGUUACUGUGUGUUUUAAAAUGAAUUACACCAGUGUUAAUGGUAGCAAUGAACCAGCCAAAGUCAACAGAACACAAUAUUUCACUUGACAUCAGCAUAUUGAAAUAUGUGUAACCCCUAUGUAGCACGUGUUAAACAAAAGUAUGUGCUACAUACUGAGUGUGUUCAAACCUUAUAUGUCCUUUAAAAUGUUACAGAGUGAAAUCCUUGUUCAUUGAGGGGGGGGCUAAUUGUGAAGCACAGGACAGAGUGAAAACUACAUUUGAUUAUCUCCGAUGCCUUCUGAUUAAAACAAAAUAAAACAAAAGCAUUUUUCUUUGCAAAAUAAUUAAAUGAAUAAAUAUAGAACAUCCUACAAAUUAGCACAACAUGUGGCAGUCUUUUAAUUGUAGCAACCUGGAUCCAUCUUGCUGUAGACGUCUAUUCAAAGCUGUUCUAUUUUAAACCAGCUUUUAAACACUGAUUGCAUUUGUGAGGCUUGAUGCAACGCCCACACACACACUCUGCCAGAAGCUGUGCUUGGCUGAACUGGAUAAAUCCAGAGCCGCUAGCAGGGACUGCCCAAGUCUUGCUGCAUUCAUCAGAGCAAAUCGCACCGGGUGCUCCUUCUGCACUCGCCAACAUCAAAGACUGCAGUGUCUCCAAAUCAUGGACAACCUAAAGAUGAUUCUGUGCUAUGCAAUGUUCUCCCAUUGUUCAGCCUUCUAUGCACUCUGCUUCAUCACAAAGCUGACCUUGUGGGCUGUUUGGUUUGUUAAUCCACUCGAAGGUUGCUUUAUCUGUAAGGACACAAGCUACCCUCUUCAUUCAGACCACUCCCUCCUCUCCUCCUUCACCUCGGCCAAUUACUCUUACUAUCAAUCAUCCUGUCCUCCAUUAACAACCUUGGCUGACUUCUUUCCUACUUUUCCUCCCUCCUGAACCCCCCGCCUCCUCCCCAAUCCUCUGUUACACCUGAUGACUUUGCACCUUCUGUUCCAGAGGACAUCCGGAAGCUAUUCUCCGGACCAUCCUCUACCACCUUCUCCUGUUUAUUUUCAACUUUCAUACUAUCUGACUCAGAACUUUGCUCCUUACUCCUUGUGCCCUAGAUCCCUGUAACACCUGUAAGUCACCUUGGAUAAAGGAGUCUGGGAGGUAGAGUUAUAUAAUAUAUAUAUAUAUAUAUAUAGUGUUACUUCUGAAUGAAUUGUGGGAAUAUUGGGAAUAAAGGUGGAAUAUUUCAUGAACAGAAGGCCUGUUCUCUUUAUUGGCGGUUCCCCAAAAAUGUGGAAAUAGGUCACUUCUUCUUCUCCACCAGAGGGCGCUGACCCUGCUGGCCGUCCCCCUCCAGGUGUAGUCGUGACUCAGGCCCCGCCCCUCAGGUGUAGUCCUGACUCAGGCCCCGCCCCCUCACCUGAAUCGCAGGUGCUGAGGACAAGAUGGCGGGGAGGUGAGUUUGUGCUGUUGCAAAAUGUAUUAUUUUUAUUUAUUUAUUUAUUUUUAAAUUAUUUUCCCCCCUGCGGGAAUAAUUCAUAGCGUUUGUUUUCCAAAUUCAAUUGCGGUACUUCUAAAUGGCUAUUUCUCUGUUUUGGAGGAAAAUGGGAAUCCAGCGUUUUAAAGGCAGUGAGAGUUCCAGCUUCCCUGACAGAAGGCAGAGCCGCCCACAGUGGAUUAAGAUAUAGGGUAACAUUUUCAACUCCCCCUGAUGCACUUAAGUAUAUACGUUUUUAAAUCGUGUUUUGUUUGUUUAUUUUGUUGACCUGAGGAUAAUGUAUUUUGAACCUUGUAUUAGACCUUGUUUGUUACAAUUAAAAUUGAAAAUAGAAAACCAUCGAAUAAGACUAUUUAAGAAAGUAAUUAGCUGUCAUUGAAAUAAUGUUCUUGGUGAUGUGUAUUUGUAUGUAAAAUAUGAUUAUGAUGUUUUAUUAACUGCUUGUUGUUUAUUAAUCUUCUUUGGAUGAGUCUCUGAACAUUACUUGAUGAUCCUGAAGUGUGGUCUGUGAGUAACUGCGCUUCAAGGUGAUGUACGAUCAUCACACUACUGUAAUCUUAUAACUAACAACACAGUACUGCAGGAUAGCCAGGCUGUCACGUUUUCAUUCACAGAAUCGAUGACCACAAUGGUGCAACAACCCGACAGUGUGUUCUGUAUAUCAGAAUUCACUUUGAAAAUAAUAUACAUUUAUACUAGAGUUGUAUUUUCGGGAAAUCCGGCGAUCGUUGAAAUGUUUUGAGCUGUCGUCUCGUGUUUAAACGCAUUGUCUUUUGUUAAUAUUAGCUGGUAAAAUUGAUGUGAUUCGCUUACUUGCAAACUUUAACAAGGGCACCGUAUGAAGCGUUAGAUCGUAGAUGAAUCAAGUCGGUGCUACACUGUUGCUUUUAUAAGCUAAUUCUCCCCUGUGUGCAAGUGAUGUAACACAGCAUUGUUUAAUAAACGGGUUUUUGUAUCAGUCUGAUAUUAUAACCCGUGCAGUUUAACACAUCAGGAGCGUGUUACAGUGAGAAUGACGUUCUAACUAAAGAGAUUCCUGUGCGUUAAUCUGUUUCAUUAGAACAUUCUCUUGUAGUCUUUAGGUUCUAGAAUCAUUUGAAGGGUAAAAACAAUGUAAAUGAUAUUCCAUAAUUCAAUGUUAUGAACUCGUUAUGUAGGUCUUGACUGUUAUGAAGGAAGAUCCAAUCUUGUGUUUGUUUGAUAUCUUGUUUAUAUACUGUUUGCUCACGUUAUCACUUGUAUUGCAGAAUGAGAUGCAUCUCGAUGUUGCCAACUCUGGUCUAGCGUUUGCUUAUUUAUACCUGCCGGGGUUUUCUGACUUCAAGUUUAAAUGGUAAGCCACCUGCUGCGCACACAGACAGCAUUUUUCAUUUGUUUUGUAUGUUUCCUUUCAACCGUCACAAUUGCAAUACCUCUCAGCAUUUCUAUUCAUGUGAGAUCGAUCACUGAAUAUAGAUGCGCAAAUUAUCCGAGCUGGCUACAGAAAACAUGUGAUUUUAAGUGCAUUGUAAAAAAAAAAAAAACUACAGCAACAUUUGACUGUGCAAAAUACAGAACGACUUGAAGAAUGUCAGUUGCAUUCAGACACACGUUGUAAAACACGGUUUGUUUAUUUGCUUUGGAGCUCAAGACAGCACGAACGGUGCAGCUGUGCAGCAAUGAUAGAACGCAUGUAAACACAGAGCCUAACACGGUUUGGGUGAUGCACUGUUGUGUAUCUAUUUCGAGUUAAUCACUGUGUGUGUCUUCUUGUUUAUUUCUGGGGAACGACGAUGCUGGGGUCUGCUCACCCUGAUGUUCCUGCUCUUCGUGACGGUAUCCGUUGCCAUGACGAGGAGGAGUAAUGUAAUGUCUUGUUGAUUUUAACAGUAUUUGUGUAUAUUGUUUUAAUUACUGUUACUUUAUUAUUAUUAUAGUAAGUAUAACCUAAUUGCUACAGCAAUAUUUGUGCAAUUGUAAUAACACGCUGCUGUUGCUAACGUUUGGAAAUGUUACAUUUACAGAAUGCCUCAAUUGAUUCAAUAAAUGUAUCUUUUUUAUUGUAGUAAUAAAUGUAUCUUUUUUUAUUGUA